GACGAACGCUGGCGGCGUGCUUAACACAUGCAAGUCGAACGGUAAGGCCCCUUCGGGGGUACACGAGUGGCGAACGGGUGAGUAACACGUGAGCAACCUGCCCUUGACUCUGGAAUAACAGUUGGAAACAGCUGCUAAUACUGGAUAUUCAUCGUCUCCUUCCUGGGGGGGGGUGGAAAGCUCCGGCGGUCAGGGAUGGGCUCGCGGCCUAUCAGCUUGUUGGUGAGGUAAUGGCUCACCAAGGCUUCGACGGGUAGCCGGCCUGAGAGGGCGACCGGCCACACUGGGACUGAGAUACGGCCCAGACUCCUACGGGAGGCAGCAGUGGGGAAUAUUGCACAAUGGGCGCAAGCCUGAUGCAGCAACGCCGCGUGCGGGAUGACGGCCUUCGGGUUGUAAACCGCUUUCAGUAGGGACGAAGGGUGACUGACGGUACCUACAGAAGAAGGACCGGCUAACUACGUG
rnacentral:rRNA from 1 species